GAUGAAGAACGUAGCGAAAUGCGAUAAGUAAUGUGAAUUGCAGAAUUCAGUGAAUCAUCGAAUCUUUGAACGCACCUUGCGCUCCUUGGUAUUCCGAGGAGCAUGCCUGUUUGAGUGUCAUUAAUAUAUCAACCUUCUCUUUUUUGAGUUGUUUGGAUGUGGGGGUUUGCUGGCCUCUUAAAUGAUUCAGCUCCCCUGAAAUGCAUUAGCAGAACAACCUGUUCAUUAGCGUGAUAAUUAUCUAUGCUAUUGAAUGUGAGGGCAGUUCAGCUUUCUAACCGUCCUUGGACAAUUCAUCAUUAAUGUGACCUCAAAUCAGGUAGGACUACCCGCUGAACUUAAGCAUAUCAAUAGCGGAGGA
rnacentral:misc_RNA from 1 species